rnacentral:lncRNA from 1 species
GCUGAGAAGCCCACCCAAGAAGGCAAAAGCCAUGAACUUGUCCUCUUGUGUUGCAGAUUCAGGGGCUCUUACCUUUGACUCCGUUGGACGGACACUAGGCUCAGGCCUUGCUGUGGACUCAGGACAAUCCAGAACCCAGAAAGAGAUGAUCGAUGCCCGGGCUGCCCGGGGCCCAGCCCAGUCCAGUAGGUGUGGCCCCAAGGGGGACCUUUUGGUUUCUUUGAGCCCUGACUGUGCUGCUUCCCUCCCUCCCCUGCCCCCUAGCUCUGACUGACAGUGCCCUGAGGGGGUCACUUUGUAAGAUCCAUCUCUGGUUGUGCAGGGCUGAUAAGUGCUGCUCUCUGAAGGCCACCUCCCAGGAGGCCCAGUCCCCUCCACUGUCCCCCUCCCCACGGUGUGGCCAGACAUGUGGCAGGUGUUCAGGGAAGGUGUGAGGCAUAGUGUUGAGACAGGUAGAGGAUGUCAUGAUGCCUGCCUGGGGAGCAGGAGGUUGGCCUCUGCCUCCAG